UCGUGAUGUCACGAUACUCCGGCCCCAUGGCCGGCACCUGUCAGUUUGUGAGCUGGCAGCGCGGCGUGCAGCUCAACGAGAUCCUGAAGCUGGAAGACAAGAAAUAUUAUGAUGUUACUACUGUAUCCCAUUAUGGCAGCCCUACUGGUUUACUACAGCAACAUCAGGUCUUGAGCUUCUGUUCCAGGGUAUCCAGCUGAAUGCUUUGGUGAAGACAAAAAGAAGACUGAUUCCUACGCAACCUGUCAACAAGAGUAAAGAAAUCACUGAAAACGCUGAUAUACGGGAAGGCGCUCA